UCCAAGAUCUGACACCCUCACACAAACAUAUAUGCAGGCAAAACACCAAUGCACAUAAAAUAAAAAUAAAUAAAACUUUUUUAAAAAAAGAAAAUUUUGUGGUUUGGCUCUAAGUAUUAACUUUGUUAAUGGUCUUUGUGUACUACUUCAUAUUCCUGUAACAGUAUGCCUUAGUGGUCAUUCAAAUCAUACAUAAAUAUUUCUGUUAUCUCUUUGGUUUUCCAAAGGUAACAUUUUAUUAUAAAGGGUGUUUUCUGAGAGCUUUAAGAAAUGGUUUAACUAUAUUUCUAUUCUUUUCAUGGCAUUAAGCAUAUGGUACAGCUGUUACAUGGUGUCAUCACUUGUAGGUUUGAAUAGUUACCCUUAGAGCCCCUCUGCAUUUCUGAUUCUAAGCAACCAUCAUUCUUUUUUCCAUUUGUAUAAUAUUGUCACAGAAAGGAUGUUAUAUGUGUGAAAUACAUUAUAUAGUCCUUUGGGGCUGGUGUUUAGCUUUUGUCCUUUGGCAUGGUUCCUUUGAGACUCAUUCAAAUUAUCAUAUGUAUCAGUUAUUUGUUCCUCUUUAUUGCUGACCAGCACUAGAUCCCAUUCUCUCUUGUGGCUGUAUCAUAUAGUCUACAUCAUUAUAAAACUUUACUUACCAGGCCUCUGUUAUUGGGUACUCCUGAUGUCUUUUGCAGUUAUAAAUUGUGAAUUUCCUAUAUAUUCAAUCCCUCUGCCUUCCUGCACCUACCUAAUUUCUAGCAAUGAAGGAACAGUGUCGAUGGCAUCCUUCGCACAGAUGUCCUCAACAAUGACACUCAUGCAAGAACAGUAGUGGACUGCUAUCAAGAGAGCAUGACUAUAAUGAGGUGACAACGGCAGACUUUGUUUCCUAGAAGAUCCUUCAUGAUUGAAUUGUGAUCAAGCAACAAAUUGGGGUAUUCCAUGGAGGAUCCGAAUGGCCAGAGACUCCUGAUCCACACAUGAUUUGAGAAUUGAGUCCGUAGGCCACUGGCCUGGGGGCCUGAAUGUUUAUAUGCACCUGUACUCCAGGAGUGGACCUGAUCUCAGUUUGUGGUGCAGUGCUUUCACGUCUGACCAAAAGUCAGGAGCAUCCUGGUGCCCUGAUGCAGUGAUGGAUGGCCCUCUGCAUGCCAGCAGUACUUUGCAUUUGGGAUUCCACAGGGAACUUGGAAACUUAAUGGUUUUAUGAUGACCUUCAUGGCUCCCUGAGAAAGACAAGGAACCUCUCAGAGGGAUCAGAAAUGCCUCUCACCUUCAUCAAGAGUCAUGAGAGUCAGCAGAGUACUUUGGGGCCCUUAUGUGCUUGCCAGAAUUGUUGCAAGAUUACCACAAAUUAAAGAUUUUUAAGUGUUUUGUAUUUGCCGUGCUAUAGUUGGGCAACACCUUAUUCCAUAAAAUAGGUUCUGUGUUCUCUCAUGUUUAUUUCUUUCACAGCGUUUAACUCAGUCUGUAGAGUGAGUAACGGGAUGCUUGUGUGCAUGCAGAAAUGACAAACUCAGGUACAAUUGACAGGUGACACCUGAGGCAGAGAUGACUGAUUGUAGCACACUGGAUGUCAUGGUAGGUCUGGACAGAAGGGGACAGCACUUUCCAACCAGGGAAAGUUGUGGCUGUGGAGGGAUGUGAAUCAUGCCAGGAACCUCAGCACUUUGGAGAUGGAGUCAGGAGGACGGGAGCCCAAAGGCCCAGCCUUCGCUGUCUAGACACCCUUUAUUCUUUGAUAAUUCCUGCAUGGAUACAAAUCACCCCCCCCACCCCACCCCUGUCUCUACACCCCACCUUCAUGUCCUCUCCUCUGUUGUUGUUUUAAUCCACUCGUUCCGGUUCAUGCUGCUUGCUGCAGCGUUGGAUGAUGUUGCACACGUAACCAUAGCUACCUAGUUCAAGAGUACACUGGCAAUGACAUGUUCAAAAGACAGCAUUUCACAGCAUCCUGACACAUCCUCCAACUCGUACUUUUCCCACCCCUCUUCUACAGUGUUCUUUGGGGGUGCGGGGGAGUGUGAGUCCUCAGCCACCAUUUAUUUGAUUUUUGGGUUUUUUUUUUUUUU